rnacentral:misc_RNA from 1 species
CAAUGAUAAAUCGAGGGCUAGCUUUAGUGCAUCCCCCACCACUAAAGUAAAAAUAUGAUUGAACUAAUAACAUUCGGACUUACGGCAUCAUUAUCCAUUACGUCUAUAGGUCUUUAUCUUACUGCUUAUAGCUUUGGCUGAGAAAAAUGAAUAUUAAAAUUGAUAAGGCUCGGUUGAAAUGUUGUUUAUUCACUGGGCUUUUUGUACUGACUGGUAAUGAGUCUAUCUGAGCUCAUAACCUUCCCAAUUUUGUUAAGAGAGGUUUAUUUUGGCGUCUAGAAAUUCGACUUCAGGCUUAUGGGUGGCAUUAUUCGGAUUAAGCCUGAUAAUUCUGCGUAUGAUUUUUGAGAAUUCACACUAUCGCAUUGAACAGUGAAG